UACAGAGGGUGCGAGCGUUAAUCGGAAUUACUGGGCGUAAAGCGCGCGUAGGCGGCUUUGCAAGUCGGGUGUGAAAUCCCCAGGCUUAACCUGGGAACUGCAUUCGAGACUGCAUUGCUAGAGUAUGGGAGAGGGAAGAGGAAUUUCCGGUGUAGCGGUGAAAUGCGUAGAUAUCGGAAGGAACAUCAGUGGCGAAAGCGACUUCCUGGACCAAUACUGACGCUCAUGUGCGAAAGCGUGGGGAGCAAACAGG
rnacentral:rRNA from 1 species